ACUAUGCCUAGUCGUAAACUUUAACUCACCUCUCCAUCGCCCGGGAACUACGAGCUAAGCUUAAAACCCAAAGGACUUGACGGUACCCCAUAUCCCCCUAGAGGAGCCUGUCCUAUAAUCGAUAACCCCCGCUUAACCUCACCAUUUUUUGCUAAUCAGCCUGUAUACCUCCGUCGUCAGCUUACCACGUGAGCGUUAGUGAGCCUAAUGUUUUUCCAACUAUACGUCAGGUCAAGGUGCAACAUAUAAAAUGGAAAGAGAUGGGCUACACUUUCUAUAAUAGAAUAAACGAAAGACUUAAUGAAACCUAGUCAGAAGGCGGAUUUAGAAGUAAAGUGAAACUAGAGUGUUCACCUAAAUGCGGCACUGGGGUGUGUACACACCGCCCGUCACCCUCCUCAGCUCUGCAUAAAAGUUUUUAACACCUUUUUAGAGACUCAGAAGAGGCAAGUCGUAACACGGUAAG
rnacentral:rRNA from 1 species